rfam:Janthinobacterium sp. HH01 Jab_1c, whole genome shotgun sequence.
GGACAAGUGAAUAAGUGCACAUGGUGGAUGCCUUGGCGAUUACAGGCGAUGAAGGACGUAGUAGCUUGCGAUAAGCUGCGGGGAGCUAGCAAACAAGCUUUGAUCCGCAGAUUUCCGAAUGGGGAAACCCGGCCUUUUAGGUCAUUGCAUACUGAAUACAUAGGUAUGCAAAGCGAACGCGGCGAACUGAAACAUCUAAGUAGCUGCAGGAAAAGAAAUCAACCGAGAUUCCCAAAGUAGUGGCGAGCGAAAUGGGAAGAGCCUGCACGUUUUAGCAUGACGCAUAGAAGAAUCCUCUGGAAAUAGGAGCCAUAGCGGGUGAUAGCCCCGUAUUCGAAAUGCGAUGUGUGGAACUAAGCGUGCGACAAGUAGGGCGGGACACGAGAAAUCCUGUCUGAAUAUGGGGGGACCAUCCUCCAAGGCUAAAUACUCGUAAUCGACCGAUAGUGAACCAGUACCGUGAGGGAAAGGCGAAAAGAACCCCGGGAGGGGAGUGAAAUAGAUCCUGAAACCGUGUGCAUACAAACAGUAGGAGCGGACUUGUUCCGUGACUGCGUACCUUUUGUAUAAUGGGUCAGCGACUUACAUUCAGUGGCAAGGUUAACCAGAUAGGGAAGCCGUAGAGAAAUCGAGUCCGAAUAGGGCGAUAGUCGCUGGGUGUAGACCCGAAACCAAGUGAUCUACUCAUGGCCAGGAUGAAGGUGCGGUAACACGCACUGGAGGUCCGAACCCACUAAUGUAAAAAACACUGGAGGUCCGAACCCACUAAUGUUGAAAAAUUAGGGGAUGAGCUGUGGGUAGGGGUGAAAGGCUAAACAAACUUGGAAAUAGCUGGUUCUCUCCGAAAACUAUUUAGGUAGUGCCUCAAGUAUCACCAUCGGGGGUAGAGCACUGUUAUGGCUAGGGGGUCAUCGCGACUUACCAAACCAUUGCAAACUCCGAAUACCGAUGAGUGCGAGCUUGGGAGACAGACGUCGGGUGCUAACGUCCGGCGUCAAGAGGGAAACAACCCAGACCGCCAGCUAAGGUCCCAAAGAUUGGCUAAGUGGAAAACGAAGUGGGAAGGCUAAAACAGUCAGGAUGUUGGCUUAGAAGCAGCCAUCAUUUAAAGAAAGCGUAAUAGCUCACUGAUCGAGUCGUCCUGCGCGGAAGAUGUAACGGGGCAAUAGAUAUGGUAGGAGAGCGUUCUGUAAGCCUGCGAAGGUGUCUUGUAAAGGAUGCUGGAGGUAUCAGAAGUGCGAAUGCUGACAUGAGUAGCGAUAAUGGGGGUGAAAAGCCCCCACGCCGUAAGCCCAAGGUUUCCUGUUCAACGUUCAUCGGAGCAGGGUGAGUCGGCCCCUAAGGCGAGGCAGAGAUGCGUAGCUGAUGGGAAGCAGGUUAAUAUUCCUGCACCGUCGUAUGAUGCGAUGGGGGGACGGAUCGCGGAAGGUUGUCUGACUGUUGGAAUAGUCAGUUUCUGGUUCAUAGAAGGCGCUUAGGCAAAUCCGGGCGCGGAAUUCAAGGGAUCGGGACGAGGCACUUAGGUGCUGAAGCAAUCGGAAGUGGUUCCAAGAAAAGCCUCUAAGCUUCAGUCAUACGAGACCGUACCGCAAACCGACACAGGUGGGCGAGAUGAGUAUUCUAAGGCGCUUGAGAGAACUCGGGAGAAGGAACUCGGCAAAUUGGUACCGUAACUUCGGGAAAAGGUACGCCCUUGUAGCUUGGCUGAUUUACUUCAGUAGGGCGAACGGGUUGCAAUAAACUGGUGGCUGCGACUGUUUAAUAAAAACACAGCACUCUGCAAACACGAAAGUGGACGUAUAGGGUGUGACGCCUGCCCGGUGCUGGAAGAUUAAAUGAUGGGGUGCAAGCUCUUGAUUGAAGUCCCAGUAAACGGCGGCCGUAACUAUAACGGUCCUAAGGUAGCGAAAUUCCUUGUCGGGUAAGUUCCGACCUGCACGAAUGGCGUAACGAUGGCCACACUGUCUCCUCCCGAGACUCAGCGAAGUUGAAGUGUUUGUGAUGAUGCAAUCUACCCGCGGCUAGACGGAAAGACCCCAUGAACCUUUACUGUAGCUUUGCAUUGGACUUUGAAUCAAUCUGUGUAGGAUAGGUGGGAGGCUUUGAAGCGGGGACGCCAGUUCUCGUGGAGCCAUCCUUGAAAUACCACCCUGGUUCAUUUGAGGUUCUAACCUUGGCCCGUUAUCCGGGUCGGGGACAGUGCAUGGUAGGCAGUUUGACUGGGGCGGUCUCCUCCUAAAGUGUAACGGAGGAGUUCGAAGGUACGCUAGGUACGGUCGGACAUCGUGCUAAUAGUGCAAUGGCAUAAGCGUGCUUAACUGCGAGACUGACAAGUCGAGCAGGUACGAAAGUAGGACAUAGUGAUCCGGUGGUUCUGUAUGGAAGGGCCAUCGCUCAACGGAUAAAAGGUACUCUGGGGAUAACAGGCUGAUUCCUCCCAAGAGAACGGAUAAAAGGUACUCUGGGGAUAACAGGCUGAUUCCUCCCAAGAGUUCAUAUCGACGGGGGAGUUUGGCACCUCGAUGUCGGCUCAUCAAAUCCUGGGGCUGUAGCCGGUCAAAACGGCAUGACACAGCGCCAUUUAAAGUGGUACGUGAGCUGGGUUUAAAACGUCGUGAGACAGUUUGGACCAGAGCUGCCGUGGGCGUUGGAAAUUUGAAGGGGGCUGCUCCUAGUACGAGAGGACCGGAGUGGACAGACCUCUAGUGUACCGGUUGUCACGCCAGUGGCAUUGCCGGGUAGCUAAGUCUGGAAGAGAUAACCACUCUUGAGCUCUUUGAAGGGUCGUUCGAGACCAGGACGUUGAUAGGUCAGGUGUGGAAGUGCAGUAAUGCAUUAAGCUAACUGAUACUAAUUGCCCGUACGGCUUGUCCCU